rnacentral:rRNA from 1 species
CCUGCCCAGUGACAAAUGUUCAACGGCCGCGGUAUCCUAACCGUGCGAAGGUAGCGUAAUCACUUGUUCUUUAAAUGAGGACUAGUAUGAAUGGCACCACGAGGGUCGCACUGUCUCCUUCCCCUAAUCAAUGAAACUAAUCUUCCCGUGAAGAAGCGGGAAUUUAUCUAUAAGACGAGAAGACCCUAUGGAGCUUUAAAUUUCUCUUCAAACGCCAGACAUAAACCCUAAACAUCUUACACCAACCCGGCGCCAUGAAGAUGAAUUUUAGGUUGGGGUGACCACGGAGAACAAGACAACCUCCACGCUGAAUAGGCCUAAAACCUUGAACUAAGGACCACAGCCCGACGAACUAAAAAAUUAACACCCAUUGACCC